AACGCACAUUGCGCCCGCCGGCAUUCCGGCGGGCAUGCCUGUUCGAGCGUCAUUUCAACCCUCAGGCACUGCCUGGCGUUGGGGCGCCACUGCUGUGGACCCCUAAAGCAAGCGGCGGGCGCGGCCCGGACCCGAGCGUAGUAGCAAACCUCGCUUAGGGCGCCGUGCGUGCUCCGGCCGUAAAACCCCAUCUCACAAGGUUGACCUCGGAUCAGGUAGGAAUACCCGCUGAACUUAA
rnacentral:misc_RNA from 1 species